CUUUGUCUUUGUAAAAUCAUUGUAUCGAAAAAAAAAAAGUUGUUUUGUUUGUGUCUUUUUCUCAAAUCUCCGUCUCAAAUAUACAAUGGAUCAUACUUGGCAAAAACUCAAACAAAAUAAAUUUUUGCAUAAACUGGAAAUAAAGUAUAUACAAUGUCCAUAUAAAAAUAUUUAGAACAAUAUAUUCAACCAUAGAUGUGCAACAAACAGGCCGAGAAGAAGAUAAUGCAUCACAGAAGAAGAGACUGACAACAAAUAAAAUCCACCGAGAUUAAUUAAUUGAAAAGUAAAAAAAAAUAUAAUUAUUUUAUUAUUCUUAAUAAAUUUGUAUGUACUUUAAUUUACCAUAUUAACCCACUUCUAUUUUUAUAUUAAAUAGGUAUUUCUUAAAUUCAGAUUUUAUAUCACUCCAACUUAUAAAAAAUACUACAUCAGUAGUAUAUAAACAUUUUAACAAAUAUUGUUAUCAUUCAAUAACUAGUACUAGGUAUGAUAUUAUAUCCUAACCUACUACUAUUCUUAUAUACUAUACUCAUUUAAAUAUUAAUUUAAUUUAUAAAAUGGUAUAAUCAACUAAUAUUUUAUAAUACCACUAAGAAAUAUUAUAAUCUACUAACAACUAUUUAUUUAUUUAUUAAAUUUUUACUAAACAAAUAUCAUUGUAUCAACACCGUUUAAAUUAAAACAAUCCCACUCAUACAAACAACACACAAUAAAUAACAAAAUCAUAUAAACUUCUCUUAUUGUAUAAUUUUUUCUUUUGUAAAAAAAAAAAAAAACUCAUGUAAAUAUCAUGGGGACACAAUAUCAAAAACAAGCAUGCAAUUUGUAAUAAAUUCUUGUAAUUUUUUUUAAAAAACUUAUUUGUUGACCACGGGGACGUAAUCGUUCAAAAACCUAGUUGCAAUUUGUAAUACAUAAAAUAUUCAAUAUUUGUAAAAUAAACAAGCAAAGUGAUUUACAAUCACCAGUUCUAUCACUAAAAAUAUCAGUAUCGCCACAUAAAUACGUCAUAAAUUAUUUCACAAUUAAUUACGUGCAUUGUCCACACACUGGCGCCUCACGUAACCACUGCGGCGAUCGUAUGGAGGCCACCCGGGUGGGAUCCGCGUAUUGCAUAAAACGGAAAACGUGUAAAUCUUUUUCAUCGAAUCUUCACUUCUCUGAGUUCUCCCAGCGGAAGCACUAUUUUUUUGCUCAUCUAAAAUCCUUAAUACCUAAAUCUUUCCAAAACUAUACGGCAGUUGCAGAUACCCAAGGCGGGAUGCUGUAUUUGGUUAAUCCACAUCUCCUUAAACCUGGUAGUUGUAAUUAUUGUCACCUUGUUUUCUAUCAUACAUUUAAAUUUAUCUAUUAUUUUUUCUCUUAUAACCCAUUAUAAACACACAUAAAAUAUAUUACACUUGACUGACUUGAGCAUUGACUUAAAGGACACCACAACACUAAAAACAAGUUUGUUUCGAUUUAAAGUAUGUCAUUAUCUAAGAAAUAUGGUGUUGGUCUCACACUUAAAAACUAAUUAUUCAAUGAGAUACAGACAUUUGAUAAUAUGCGUGUGACGUCAUAGAGCCGAAGUCUGAACGACGGCGUAUGUUUUAUAUACCAAAGUAAUUUUAAUUGUUAAAUAUAAUAUUUUUUAAAUUUUUCUUUUGUAACCUCAAGUGUUUUUUUGUGUUUAUGACACUGGGGUGAUUAUAAUUUUAAUAUCCUUUCUAGUGUUUUUAAAGUAGAUAAAACUAUUAUAGUUAAUUUCGUACAAUUUAGUUUGUGCCACUGCGAUGUGCUGCGCGGUGAUAUGACGCGAGUUUCAAACUCAGUAAUUUUACUAAAUUAUAAUUUAUAAUAUGUACCUAUGCAACAAUAAAAUAUAUUAAAUUUAAAAUCACACCAUUGUUCUAAACACAUCAAUAUACUUAGAAUUAUGAAAAAAAAAAAAAUCGGAAAUACUAUUUUAAAUUAUUAAAAUCAUUUUGUAAAUCAAACUACUUUUACACAUUAAACAUAAGCAGCUGCUCAGUCUUCGGUUCUAUGACGUUACGCGAAUAUUCAAAAUCAACUCACAUUAUCUCGUUGAAUAAUUAUUUUUUUAACUUCGGAUUUUUACCAAAACGUUUUUCAUUAUGUUAACUACAAUAAUAAACUUAAAAUUAAAAAAAAAUUUAGUGUUGGAUGUCCUUGAAAAUAUCGCAAUCGUUGGUCGUCACUCAGGAUUAACAAUUAUCUGUAGAUUUCAUAUUGUAGCAAGCACUUUAAAGGACAAUAGCUACACAAUAAUACGUCAGCCAGCGAUUCGUUACACUAAACGGAUGAUUCUCCUGCAAAUCGUCACUUAUUAGCGACCCGACGUCUGAGUAUAACCACAUAAAUAUCUAUUGGUAUAGUAGACUUGCUGACAAAACAACUAGAAAACCUACUUGUGUUUAUUGUAACAAUUCAUCGAAACCUACGCAUCCCUAUUUUGAGCAACGAAUUUCUUCCGAACUUUAAAACAGUAAAAAGAGGUAAGUGAUUAUUUCCAUAUUCUCGUAGAAAAUUAAUUAAAAAAAAGGUAGAGGCAAAUAAAUAAAUAAGUAGUUGCCAGUCAAUGUUAAACAUAAUACGUUUUUAUAUUUGUAUAUAUAUAUAUGUAUAUGUCACGACGAUGACCCUAUAAUAAACACACACAAACAUAGGGCGAUAUAUACACAUAUUAUUAUUGUACGUAUUAUACGCGUAGUACACAGUAACAAUACCAUUUCACACCAUAUAUUAUAAGUAUCUACAAUAUACCUAUAAUGUUAUAUUAUUCUAUUAUAUUUGACUGUUGACUUCGCAUUCCCAUCACCGCAUUACUAUUCCACCGUACCACUACACCUAUACUAUACUAAUACUUUAUUUCUACUUUUGCUUUUUCUUUUACUAUAGAAUAAAGACAGAAAAAGUAAAAAAAUGAAAAUGUAUAUCUUUAAGCAACGAUAAACCAUUGCUAACGAAAAAAUGAUUCUGACCGGAGUUCAGUUGAUAGUGAUGCUUUUUCAACAGUAUAUAUUAUGUUAUAUUUUGUUAAAAUAAUUAAAUAGACAUUAUAUAUUUUCUUUAAUAAUAUUUGUUUAUUAUUAUAUUAAUUUUCCCCAUGUUUUUUCCCGGUUAUUCACAUCUGGUAGAAAAACUCUUAGGAAAAUCGAAAAAUUAUCUCCCUCAAGUACAUUUCCAGUCAGAUUUCUUUUCAGAAAAAGUGUUAUCAUUGUCAAUCAGACCAAAAUUAUUCGUAGCAAAUUGUUCAUAGGAAAAAUGAAGGCCGAAAUAUUUUUCAACUAAUAAUUACAUUUCGUACAUUUUCCCGUUUUACCUCCGUUUUUUUUCGGUUUUUCACAUUUGUUGAGAAUACUUCUGGAAAAAUCGAAAAAUGACCUUUCUUAAGUACCUUUCCAAUCAAAUUCUCUUUUAGAAAAAGGGUUAUCGUUAUAAAUCGAAGCGAAAUGGCUUGUAAAAAGUUGUCUACAGAAAAAAAAUAUCGUAAUAUUCUACUAAUAUAUUUUGUGCAUUUUCCAUUUGUCCGACAAUUUAUCUUGGAUUUUCCCAAACAGUAUAAAAACCGCUUGGAAAAUCAAAAAAUUACCUACUAAAAGUACCAUCCGGACAAAAUUUCCUUUCAGAAAUGUUACUGCGCGUAUAUAUCGGAGCAAGAUUUCUAGUCAAAUUAUUGUACGCGGUAUGAAAAAAAAUAAAGAAAAAAGCAAAAAAAUAAACAUCUUAGUAAAACCAAUACAUUCUUCACUCCACUCAGAAUCUAAAAAUAGCUGAAACUAGAGACAAAUGCAGCCACUAUUGUAGGUGGGAAGUUCGGAAGGUAGAAUACAUAAGAUUAUUUCAUUUAUAUCUGUAAGCAACGAUAAACCAUUGCUAGAAAGACGAUUCCGAGCGCAGUUCGGUAAUACGUAAUUUAGAGUGCCAUAAUUUUUUUUGCGAUUUUCGUUUAAAUUUGAUUUCAAAACACUUAUUUUAAAAAAAAAGUCGUCCUAUGAUUUUCGAAAUUUCACCACGUUUAGGAAGUCCAAUAUAAGGAUUAUUACCAAGUUUCAAGUCUCAAAGUGCAUUUAUAACCGAACUACAGUAAAAAAACUCUCGAAAAUAAAAUUCCUUAAAAGUUUAAAAGUUGCUUAAUACUUUUAGCGGUUAUACAGUAAAAGAGUAAAUCAAAAAGGCAACAAAAAAAGUUUCUUGUGAUUUUUCGAUUAAAUCAUUUUUUCUGGUAUAAAACGUCGUCCGUGUUUUAAUAAAAUAAUGAAAUCGUGAAAUUGUACAUUUGUCUAGGUUUUUUUUCACUUGAGUGCUUUCAUUUUAAAAAUUUCGUUGAAAAUUAAAAAAUACAAAGUACAAUCUAGACAUCUUGAGCUUUCAGAAAAGGUGCUACACUUAUAUAUUGCAGCAAGUUUACUAAGAAAAAACGUGUCCACAGGGUAGAACAAAGAAAGAAAGAAAAAAAUAAACAUCUUAUUAAAACCAAUAGCUCCCUCCCUACACUUAGAAUCUAAAAAAGAAACAUCUUAGUAAUACCAAUACAUGCUUCGCUACACCCAGAAUCUGAAAUGUAUAAGGUACGAAUAGAUAGUUUUAUCUAGGUACAUAAAGAGAAAACAAUAAUAAUUUAUUUAUGUUUCAUUUUAAAACUAAAAUCACUAACGGGAGUAUCGGCCAAUUAUUUAACCAUGAUUAUAUUUUACCAAAACUGUUAUCGCUAUCGGUGAUGUAUGCCACUGUGGGAGCAAACGGCUUUAGCCUUGUAUUGUAUUGGGUAACAAGCCGAGGUAAAAAAACGACCUUUCUGGACAGCAAAACAGAAUACAUAGAACUCUGUUGUAACGCGACUGAACGGUUCGUAUCAAACGUCGCUGCGAUCGAUUGGGGAAACCUGAUUAACUAAUACUCCAUUUAACGAUUUUAUAAUAUUUAUCACAUGGUUGCUGAAUGAGGGUAGUAUACAUUUUUCAGAAAAAGUGAUAAGAAAUCGUAGCCAUAUCGGUCUGCACGAACCCCAACGCUAAGAAAGUUGAAUUAAAAAUGUAAUCACACCAAUAACGCAAACAAAUUGUUUCAAAUGAUGUAUUCGUGAUAACCGUUCUUGUGCAAAACCACAUCAUUUAAGUAUCAGGGAAAAUUGAAAUAGCAUUAUAGGUGGAAUUAUAGACCCGAGGUUUACUCGCUGUGCUCACUCGGACAAUUAUAAUCGAUAAUAACCCUCGAUUUGUUGUGCAAGACUACGAUGGGUUUAGAAAAAGUGAAGAGCAUUAUAGGUAAAAGUACCUUUAAUUGCUAUAACACUAUUUUAUUUUAUUCUUAAACAAGGGAUACUAGUGAAAGAAAUGUGUUUUAAUAUACAUUAGACUCUCAUUUAUCUUAACAGGCUAAUCCGAAAUACACAGUAAUCUGAACGGACUUAAGGGCAUUUUGAUCAACUUAUAGGCACCAGUGUUAAAUUAUAUUUAAAUUUUAAAUUUGUACUAUAAUAAUAAAUUUAAAAAUUGAUCUUUAAUUUUAAAUUUCAGGAAUAUUGGUUUUAAUAUUAGUUAACUAGUCUUCGGUAAUUCAACCGACCCCAUUCCCCUAUCCCGUUCAGAUUAACGAGAGUCUAUUGUAUGUGAUAAGUGAUUCAGCAAAUUAAUAAUACCCGUACAAAAAUUAAUCAUACACAUGUAUAUCUUCAUUUAGUGAACACACGAAUCCAGUAAAAAAAGCCACUGCGGAAAUCUCUUAUGCUCAGAUGACUGGUUCUUCAAAUACCACAGACAAAAUGUCCAAUACGUUUUUGCAACAGCAGUCCAACAAAAAUGAUUCCACUUUAGUGGAAAUUUUAACCACAUUAAAUAAUAUAACAAAAUCAAUAGAAAGUGUUACAUUUAGACUGGAUAGGUUAGAAAGUAAUCAAUCCAAGACUAAUAACAAAAAUUAAAAGAAAUAAAAAUGAACUGCAUAUUGCAGAUUAUAGCAUAGAACGCCAACGGGCUAGUACAGCGUAAGCAAAAAUUCGAAGACCUUUGCAUCUAGAAAAUAUUGACAUUACUGUCAUCUCAGAAAUACACUUUAGAGCGUGAACUAUUCUAAAUAUAAAAAAUUAUAACAUCUACACCACUCUACAUCCAAGUUUUAAAGAACGAGGGAGCACGACUUAAAUUAUAAAAGACAUUAUAAAGCACUUUGAAAUUGAGAAAUACUCGGAACUACAUAUACAAGCUAUUAGUGUUCGUUUUAAAGACGGGAACAAUGACCUCACAGUUACGGCUAUUUAUUGUCCACCUCGAGGUGGUGUAGAUGAAAUUAAAUUCAUUACGUUUUUACAAAAACUAGGAGACCGAUUCAUUGUCGGUGGAAACUGUAACGUUAAGCACUCUCACUGGGGAUCAAUACUUAUCACUCAGAACGGACUUUUCCAAAUUAAAAAUUGUCAACAAUUUUUUAAGAAAUACUAUAUCUCAAGAAAAAUUCAAUAAUAUUUCAGUUUCAAGUAUAGAAAGAGAACGCUGCAGAAUUAAUCAUCGAUCAUAUCAAUUUAUCAAUUUUGCAAACAAAAAAGCAAGGGAUAAAAAUGUAAUACCUAACACUGAUUUUAAAAUUACUUUAUUCAAAUUAAUACUACUUAUUUAUAACUUACGAUAAAUAUAAUUUUGAUUUUAACAAUUUUAUUAUUAUUAUAAUUUUUUUUUUUUUUUUACAAAGCAAAAAUAUAAUUUGACGUUUUAUUUUUAUUAAGAUUAUAGUUAUAGAUAUAUCUUUCGAUUUUUUUCACUGGGGCACACAAAUACUUAGCGCUAUGCACCGACCCGGAUACGUUUUCCCUUUGGUCCAUCAACAAGUAUCAUCCUUUGUUGCAUGGGAAUGUCGUCGGUUUACCACACUCGUAUUAAUGGCCUUUACGUACGUACACAUAAUGUGUCGACCGAUUUCAUAUUUAGUCACGUAGAAUUAUUAAUUUAUAUUUAACAAACUUAAACACAUGAAAGACAGAGUCCGUAACAUUAUAAUUUAUUGAUGUAAAGCAUAUACAUAUUGGAACUAAGUACUCAUCGGUUAUCCCGAAAAUACGAUUAUGGAAAAACACGAAAUACUAAACUAUGGUACUAUGAUACUUUAGGAGAAAUCGGUUGGCAGUUAUAAAUAAACUGUACAACAAUUUAAAACAUUUUUGUAUAGAUUGGCGACAUUAAAAUAUUGUGACUGGCCUCAUCAAUUUUCUGAAAAUUGCAACUUUCCGGCUGAACAAGUGCAGACGAGAAGACGAGUGAGACCGUUGUUGAACGUCUUUGCAGAACUGACGUAUUGGGAGGAAUAGGAUUCCGUACGUUUUUAUUGUUUUUUUUUAACACGAUUCCGCACGCUCUAUUGUUCAUUUAAAUACAAUAGGAAUAGGGUGCAACAUUGUCAAAUUUAUUAUAAACGGUGCGGUUUAACGUUUAUUAUGAAAAAAUAAUGUAAAAUAAAAAUAGUUCUCUCAUAUAGUGAGCUGUCAUUACAAAAAAUAAAUAUAAUGUAAAAUAAUAUUCAAUUUAAUAUAAUCUUUCCCUUAGUACAUAAAACUAAUAGAAGUUAAAAAAUAUUUUAUAAUUAUUAAAAUGUUAUAUAACGUUAGGUAUACGUUGUCCUUUUCAAAUUUUAUUAUAUCUAAUUAAUUCUCCAUUCCUAGCUAUUAACUUGUAAAUUUUAACACUGUAAAAAUAUAAAGUAUAGAACAGUGCUCGAAAUUAAUACAACUUAUAAUUGAACUUUAUCAACGCGCAGCGUUUAAACAGUUUUAACUAGACUGACUAUACUGCUAUAUUUACCCAUAGAUAUUAAAAAAAAUAUGUUUAAUACUGUGUAUUUACCACCAGUUAUUGUGUGUGGUCAUUUAUCAAAAUAAUCUUGUCAUUAUGAAAUUAUCGUUAUAAUAUUAGAUACUCUUAUCAUAACAAAUAUUAAACAAAUCAUAUAGACUCAUGUAAUUUAAUUUGUAUUGUUAUCUUUAUCAAAAGAACCAACUUAUCUUGUUUUUAAUUAAUUAGAUGAACUUGAAAUAUCACGGUAAAGAGGUAAAUAAAUAAAGAAAUCACGGGAUUGUGUUAUAAGAAAAAAAAGACGUCCUAGGAUAAUGGGGAUGGGUACAGCCACUGUUAUAGAUUAUGUUAUAAUUUAAUGUAUACCUGAAAUCAAAAAUAAACCAUGGCUUAUGAAAAAAUGAUUCUGACCGGAGUUAAGUGAUAGUGAUACUUUGUCAACAAUAUAUAUGUUAUUUUAUAGUAAAAUAAUUAAAUAGGCUUUAUGUAUUUUCUAAAAUAAUAUUUGUUUCAUGUUGUAUCGAGUUUUCCAGUUUUCCUACGUAUUUCCCGGUUCUCCCAUGUUUUAUCCCGGUUUUUCACAUUUGCUGGGAAAACUCUUGGGAAAAUCGAAAAAUGAUCCAUUUAAAGAACCUCCCUAGUUAAAUUUUCUUUAAGAAACAUUGCUACAGCCCCGUCCCUAGGGCACAAGCAGGUUAGGCCAUUACCUAAGGGUAGAAACAUAUUCAAUGAAACUGAGGCGGUAUUUUUUAUGAUAGAAUAUUUGUUGUAUUAAGUUUCACAACCAAUAAAUUUAACAAAAUCCAACAAAUCAUUAGUUGGCAACCAGUAAUAAAUCCGAAAGAUGCAUGUUUCAAAACAAUACUUGUAAUGCAAGAGCAAUGAGUAUUUGAGUAGGUAGGUAGGUAUCUAUUCUAUCAUCUUAUCUAAUAGCGUAUUAUAUAUUAUAAUUAUUUUAUGCCAAUCGCUUUUAUGCCUAACUUAACCUAUCUAGUGUUUUGUCUGAACCGCAUUUGGUCGAAAAAUAUAUAUAACAAUAUAGUUAUUUAUAUUAUAUAUAUAUAUAUACAGGGUGUAUCGGAAAAGACUGGCCAACUUUACGGAUUGUGAAUCUAUAUGUGGCUAUAAUAAUUGGUUUUUUGGAAUUUUUAUUUUCUUAUCAAAACUUUGGUUCACCGCUAUUUUUGGCUUAUCAUGUCCAAAAUCGUAAUUUUUGUGUGACACGUGAAUUUGUAUGUAAAUUUGUCAGGGAUUUCAAUGGAAUAAAUUAUUUUUUAUUUAAGCGUCAAUUUAACGAUCCUAUCCGUAAAAUACGACUCAUUUGACUGUAAAUUAAAUAUUAAAACUUUAUUAUUAUUUGGAUAAUUAAAAAAAAAAAAAACCAUACCUAUUUCUCUUAAUCUACGAAAAACAUCGGUAAAGGAUUUCGAUUAAGUUGCUGACGGUAUGGAAACCGAUCAGCUCAUAAUCGAACUGCCUGAGCACCAAUACCAUUAACAUUACCUCAUAAUUAGAUGUACGUAUUCAGAAUAACAUAACAUUUUUUAUUACAAGAAAAACCUUACCUAAAUAAAAACCAUAUCAGCGUAUUCAACAAAUGUGUACAAUAUUAUUAAUUAAUAAUUAUAGCAUUAAUUAAUAUUAACUACAAAAUUAAAAAAAAAAAAUAUUAAACUCACCAGUAAUUUAUCGACGUACUACACUAACUGAUACGUGUUCAGCGUGGAGUUACAAGCUUACAUACCAUAAUCAAUACAAUAAAAAUAACAAUCAAUAAUAACAAUGAUAAAGUUACUACUUUAUCAUACACAAAUUUAAUAAUGGAUACGAUAGCAUCACUAGAUCAUAAUAUAAAUUUUAUAAGAUUAUUAUGUUAGUAGUAUUAUUGACAUAAUGGCAUUCUGUGUCAUCGAAAAUGUUUGAAGGUUAUUCCAUGAACGACUUUUAAAAUGUAUUGAAGUACACGGAGGUCAUAUUGAACAUUUACUUUAAAUAUUAUUUCUUUAUUAUCUGAUAAUAACUAAUUAUAAAACAAUUCAAUAAAAACAACUGAAUUUAUGCAUUUUUUUAAUGUUUGUUACAGUCAAAUGAGUCGUAAUUUACGUAUAUGAUCGUUAAAUUGACGCAUAAAUAAAAAAUAAUUUAUUCCGUUGAAACCCCUAACAAAUUUACAUACAAAUUCAUGUGUCACAAAAAAUUACGAUUUUGGACAUGAUAAGCCAAAAAUAGCGGUGAUAAUGAUUAUUUUUGAAAAAAAUCGAGUGACCCCUUAUUUCGUAAGAGAAUUUUGCGAUAAAAUCUCUAGAAUAGUUUAUUUUUAUUUUGUAUGUGUAUUUUACAAAUAAAAACCAAAUUAUUUGGUUAAAUUGGUAAAAUCAAAUUUUUGAUAAGAAAAUAAAAAUUCCAAAAAACCAAUUCUUAUAGCCACAUAUAGAGUCACAAUCCGUAGAGUUGGCCAGUCUUUUCUGAUACACUCUGUAUAUAUAUAUUAUAUUCCGAUGUUUUACCGAUCUGAUGACGUGGCAAUAUAACAUUUCCAUUACGAUAACGGUUUGAAUAUAAUAUUUAUUUUUAGAUUUAAUAUAAAUAAUAAUCACAAUAUAUUCAAUUUAUAGGUAUUAAAGUACAUGGAAUUUAUAACGUUUAGAUUGACAAGGCACAUACAUUUCACCGCACGGCGAUUCAAGAUCUAAAAAUUCUUGUCAUUAUAAAAUUAUCGUUAUAACAUUAGGUACUCUUAUCAUAACAAAUAUUAAACAAAUCAUAUAGACUCAUGUAAUUUAAUUUGUAUUGUUAUCUUUAUCAAAAGAACCAACUUAUCUUGUUUUUAAUUAAUUAGAUGAACUUGAAAUAUCACGGUAAAGAGGUAAAUAAAUAAAGAAAUCACGGGAUUGUGUUAUAAGAAAAAAAAGACGUCCUAGGAUAAUGGAGACGGGUGCAGCCACUGGUAUAGAUAAUUUAAAGUAUACCUAUAAGCUACAAUAAACCUUAACUUAUGAAAAUACGAUUCUGAGUGGAGUUCAGUUGAUUGUGAUGCUUUGUCAACAAUAUAUAUAUACAUGUCAUUUUAUAGAAGUGGUAAUUAAAUAGGUUUUAUGUUGUACCGAUUUUCCCAGUUUUUCUACGUUUUUUCUGGUUUUUCACAUUUGCUGGGAAAACACUUAAGAAAAUCGAAAAAAAAUGACCUCCCUAAAGAACCUUCCACAACGAUUUCCUUUUAGAAAAAUUUCCACACUUAGAAAUCUGAGCAAGUUUUCUGGUAAGUUUGGAAAGUUGUUAACAGAUUAAAAAAAAAAAAAACAUUUUUAAUAUCAAUACAUUUUAGAUAAUAAAUAAUAACCAAAUAAUUUAUAUUUCUUAACAUAUGUAUGUCUAAUACGAAAUAACCCAUUUUAAAUAAUCUAUCUUAUUAAAAUAAAUUAUUUCUAUGUAAAAGGACCAAUAUUUGUAUAAUUUAUAAUCCUCCACGUCCUUUAACACGCCAUUUCGAGUACCCACUAGUUGGGGGAACACUGACUAAUGACCUACGAGCCGAACUUGAUUAACAGAGCUUAUAGAUUUUUGUUUAUUAGAUACCUAGUUUUCGGGGUCUUAUAUAGUAAAACAGUUUAAUUUUGUUAAUAUUGUUUUUUUGAAAAUUUUUUUAUAUUAUUGACAAAAAUUAAAUUUCAAAAAAUCAUGGCCACCGUAACAGUAUAAAUUAAGCAAGAGUUAUUGGUGAAAGGAAAAUAGAAAAAUAAAUAUUUUUGGGCCUGAUAUAUUACUCCCCGCUGUUGUUUUCGUUUGCCAUUGAUGGUUUUCGGUCGUCCCGGGCCCGUCGUGUACUUUAAGCCGCCAUUAUUACUGUGGUUUAAUGACGACGGUUAAAAUAUACGAUGACCGCAUUCAUCAAUCCGACCAAAAAGACAUUCGUCGGAUAGCGAGCACAGCAGAAUAAAAAAAAAAGAACGGUAGUUGUCCUGGUGUUAACCAUGGGAACUGACGGGUUGAAAGCGGGGAGAUGUUCAGCGUAUAAUUAUUGAGGGGCUUUCAAUAAUUGGCGAUAGGACCACACUGGAAACGAAGUGGCGGGACAGCUGGGUACCCGCUAAGUGGGCCACCACCCGGCGGACGACAACGAUAAUGGUGUUGUAUGCUCGCGAGGCAGAGGGUUAUCAUCAUAACGAAAUAAUUAGUAUAAUAUUAUUCCGUUAUGAUCAUUACAUAAUUUAUAGGUACUUUUUUUUUUUUUUUAUACGCGUCGAAAACUUUACGUGCACACAAUCAUCCGUUAUCGACACACGACCGGUCGGUUGCGGCGCUACGCGAUUGUUGUGUGAUUGGAGUCCAUAAUUAAAUGACUGUUAACUUUGGCAUUGAACUUAUUACAAAAUACAUCAAUAUUAUUAACAUAAUAAUUAUUUAGGAGUAAUAAAAUCCGAGCCGUUACAUAUUUUUUUCUAAGUAUUCUAUCAUUUAAUUUUAGAUUCCAUAGCGAAAGAGCUAUUGGUUUUACUAAGAUGUUUUUUUCUUCUUCUUCUUAUUCUUCUAGUUUGUGGACAUGUUUUUUCCUAGUAAACUUGCUCCAUUUUUUUACGUGUAGCAUCUUUUCUGAAAGCUCAAGUUAUCUAAAUUGUACUUUGUCAUUUUUUAAUUUUCAACGGAAUUUUUUAAAUAGAAGCACUCAAGUGGAAAAAAAACGUAGAAAAACGUACAAUUUUACGAUUUCAUUAUUUUAUAAAAACACGGACGUUUUAUGCCAAAGAAAACGAUUUAAUCGAAAAAUUACAAGAUACAUUUUUUGUUGCCUUUUUGAUUUAAUUUCUUACGGUAUUAUUUCAAAACUGUUGAACUAUUUUAAAGCUUUUAAAAAAUUUUAAUUUUUGGGUAAUAACUUGGUAAUAAUACUUAUAUCGGACUUACCUAGACGUGUUAAAAUUUCCAAAAUCAUCGAACGAUGUUUUUUUUUUUUUAAUAAGCGUUUUGAAAUUAAACGAAAAUCGCAAAAGAAAUUACGGCACUUCAAGAUAUGUAUUACCGUACUGCGCUCAGGAUCGUCUUUCGUCAGCAAUGAUUUAUCGUUGCUUACAGAUACAAAUAAAAUAACUUUGUAUAUCUUACCAUCCCAAUUUCUCACCCACAAAAGUGGUUUUUUUAUUUUUAUAUAUACAUUUUUUAUUUAUAUAUUUUUUUACUAUAAAUAUUUUGAAUUAUUCUAAUAACGACUCUUUAACUUCAGACUUUAGAUAAUUUUAUUUGUAUUAAUUGAGUGAUCAGCAAAUGUAUUGAAUUAUUAUUUUUAAAUUCUAAUCGUUAGAGUAAAAAAUGAUGUGGAACAAAUCUAAUUUUUCAAUAUUUUUUUUCUGAACAUAUGUAUAUUGCCAAUUAAAGAACGAUGGUGAAGUCAGAAUUGAGCGGACUAACUAAGUUUCAAAAUUAUAACUUUUUGGAGUUUUGAUUUAUGUGUAUAUUAUAUGUUAUCUUAAAUAACUCUAUAUUGUUUACCUUAAUGGUUAUUUGUCGUGAUCUAAUGGUUAUACAUGCCUAUUAUCAUCCUAGGGUUCCCAAGUUCAAAACCCAGGUUUCGAACAAAAUUAAUUGUUUUUUAAAAAAAUGUUUUUUCUUUUCCAAAACAAUAAAAAUAUAAAUGCAUUUUGGGUGUAGCUAGAGAUCCAAGCCCUCGCUAGCUUGGACUCUUUAAUCGGAAAAUACCCCUCGAUUUAUUGUGCAAACUUUCUAUCAAAAAUCUUGCUCCGAUGUAUCAAGUGUAGCUUAUUUUCUAAAAGGAAAUUUUAUCUCCAUGGUAAUUUGACAAGGUCAUUUUUUGAUUUUCCCAAGAGUUAUCCCAAUAAAUGAGAAAAAUCGUGAAAAACGGGUAAAUGUACAAAAUAAAUUAGGAAAAUAUUGUGAUUUUUUUUUCUGCAGACAACUUUUCUAUCAGUAAUUUAACUCCGAUUUACAAUGAUAGCACUUUUUCUGAAAGUAAAUCUAACCACGAAGGUAAUUUAGGGAAGCCAUUUUUCGAUUUUCUUAAGAAUUUUCCUAGACAAUAUGAAAACCCGGGUAAAAACAUGGAGAAUUCUGAAUAAACACAGGAGAAACGGGAAAAUCGGUACAAUAUUAAACAAAUAUUAUUAAAGAAAAUGUAUAAUGCCUAUUUAAUUAUUCUAUCAUAAUAUAACAUAUGUAUUGUUGACAAAGCACCACUAUCAACUGAAUGCGCUCAGAAUCGUUUUUUCUUUAGCAAUCGUUACUUACAAAUAUACAUUAAAUUACCUAUAACAGUGGCUGCACCCGUUAUAAUUAUCUUUGGACGGUUAGGUUAAGUUUUUGUAUUUUGUUUUAUUUUAUACCUUAUUUACCAAUUAAUUUUGAAACACUUUAUUUAUAAUUUUACAUAAUUUAUACAUACUUUAUAAUCAUAUUGCACAUACAUUAUUGAUCAUAUUUGAAUUUAUCAAAAUGCUUUUUAUUAAUGUCAUAUUUUUUCACAUAUUGUAAAUGGAGUUUUUCUCCGUAUAUUACUAAUAAAUAAAUAUGGUGGGACGCAUUUCGUGUACCUAUACAUUUUUUAUGGACCGCAAUUAUGGUGGCCCGAAAAAUAUUGCUUUGACGUUCGGUUCUAAGCUGGAAUAUUAUCAUUUAACAUCAUAGAUAAUAUAAUUCAACGAGGAAAGAAUUAAAAUCUUAACCUUCCUUCAAGCUAAAUAUAUAAUCUAGACAUUUGCAUUUUAAUGUACUAAUGUCCAUAAUAAAAUUAACAUUUUUAGUAGAAAUUAUUUCAUCAUCGCCCUUUGUAAUGAAAUUUCACCACGACUGUUGUCUAGGUUCGUCCAUAAUGAAAUACGAGUACCUACGUAUAAUACUCGUAAAUGUUUAAUUCAUAUUUCAAAAAUAUUUAAAAUUCUAAAAUACUUAGUUUUCGAAAUAAUUUGUGAAUAGCCCACGAUGAACACUCUGACUUAAAAAAAAAAAAGUAUUCAAGUUCAAUAUACUAUGUUCACCCAUAAAGUAUUUUUACCAAAACUGUCUUCAUAUUUUUUUUUUUUACGAAAUGUAAAACUUAACUUUCGAGCUGGCUAUUUGCAUAAACAUUUGACCGUUCUUACGAUUUUCGUUAAAAUUUGAACUUUACAUUUUAGUCGGCAACAGCAGAACUGUCCGAAUUAUUCCCCAUAUGGCCCAUAUACUACCACACUUACAUAUACUUCAAGUGAGCACAGCCACUGUUGUAGUUGGGAAGUUGGGAAGGUAGGAUACAGACGAGAAUUUAAUGCAUAUCUGUAAGCAACGAUAAAUCAUUGCUAACAAAAAAACCAUUCUGAGCGAAGUUCAGUUGAUUUUGUUGCUUUAUAAACAAUAUAUAUAUCAUAUUAUAGUAAAAUGAUUACAAUGUACGUUUGACAACAAUAAUUGUUUAAAAAAAUAAUAAAAAUUUAAUAAUAACAAUAAUAAAUAAAAACAGUUGCCAAUGACCUUAUUUUUAAUCAUUCAAUCUUUUUUAACCUAAAUAACCAGGUUUUCCUCAUUUUCUCAAAUAUUAAUAGGAAUUUCAAAAAAUAACCUUUCUAAAUUACCACCCAAAGAACAUUUCCUUUCAGAAAAGGUGUUAAACUUGAUUAUUUAAGGUAUUAUGUUAUUUAAUAUUACUACGAUUCUGAGCUAAGUUCAGUUAAAAGUGUUGUUUUUUAAACAAUAAAUAUGUUAUAUUAUGGUAAAAUAAUUACAACAAUGCGCGUUUUUGUCCUGGUUUAUAUAUGAAAAAAAUAAUUUAAAAAAAAUGAGUCAAAGAAAAACAUCAACUUAAACAUCACGUUUAACUCACAGUCAAUCAAAGUAUGUGACAUAGUAUAAUUUUCUAAAAAUAAAUUACCUAACGUCCGUCCUACUACUUCACAGCACCCGGAUUCAGUUUCAAUUGUUUGUUGAAAUAUACGAGGACCAGACUGGAACUUCUUUCCGACUACGAUAUGCUGCUGAUAUUUGAAAAAAAUGUGGUAUGGUAUUUGGUAUAUUUGGUGGACUAGUACCAGCGAGUAUGCGGUAUAGUAAGGGGAAUAAUUACUACGACAAAACUAAAGACGACUCGUGUAUUAUAUAUUAAGAAUGUAAGUAUACAUAUUUAAAAAAAAAAAAAAUAUUUUACAAAUACUAAUAAAUUCGGUUUUGUUUGUUAUAGGUAACAAUUUGUAUGGCGAGCCAUACCACAGUAC